UGGUGAAAUGAAUGAAUUGACACUUCAGU
rnacentral:piRNA from 1 species